rnacentral:rRNA from 1 species
UACGGAGGGGGCUAGCGUUGUUCGGAAUUACUGGGCGUAAAGCGCACGUAGGCGGCUUUGUAAGUUAGAGGUGAAAGCCCAGGGCUUAACCCUGGAAUUGCCUUUAAGACUGCAUCGCUAGAAUCGUGGAGAGGUGAGUGGAAUUCCGAGUGUAGAGGUGAAAUUCGUAGAUAUUCGGAAGAACACCAGUGGCGAAGGCGGCUCCCUGGACAAUAGCUGACACUCAGGCACGAAAGCGUGGGGAGCAAAAGGG